AUGGGAUGUCGGCUUGACUUAAAAAAACAAAAAGAAACAGCUACUACGGGAUUGCUUGCAAUUUGGGGACUCUGUCCAAUCGGAGGCGGCGCCCAAUCAGGACCGGGCAGGGCUCGGCGCGCGCCCAAUCUGAGCGGGCGGGGGAGAGGGAGGCGUUCCUCGGGCGGCCGGAGCCUCACCAGUCACUCGGACACGGCGGAGGAGCAGGAGCAGGGCGGGGCGGUGGGAGUCGCCGGCCGCUCGGUUCUUCUCCUUCUUCCCGGAGAGACGCGUCAGCGCAGCGCCCGCCGAGGUGAAGAGCGAGGAAAGGUGCUGGCAAAAGAGGCUGGAAAGUAAAGCUUUGCUGCAGGAGUAAGUAAGUACAGGUCUUGAAGAGGCCUAAUACUCAAGGUCUUUGCAACUAUAGUUAAAACUUAUUCAGUCAUCUGCCUCUCCCCACCCACUACAGAAAAAUUUUAAGUAAUUUGCAUAUCUGUUUGGUUACGCUGUGUAACACGAUUUUUGUUCCUUGGUUACAAAUGUAAUUUACUAAUUGAUUCCAUCAUAAAAACAUGGGAAAUGUUUUGGUGGUAUAAUUCUUACUCUAAUUAGUAUAGAGAUGUUAUUUACAUGGAUUGUAAGUAAUCUUUAGUCUGUAGUUGUGGAAGUGCUUUCAUAUACUUAUUGAUCAGAUAUAUUAAGCUGUCGGUUCAUAUCUCUCCUUUGUGGGUAUUAGAAGGACUUUUGGUAAACAAAGGAUAUGAAGAAAUGCAUUAGCUGUGUACAUUGUAACUAUGUCCAAGAUUGGUGGUCACUGAUGGUUUUAUAUAGCCAGACAGGAUACAGUAAAAAUGUAUUUCAGCAAGGCUUUUUUCCCUCUCCAGUGAACAAAUGCAGUGCAACUUAUCCCUUUCUUUGGGCAUUAUGGAAAAUAUACUGAAAGUGUAAAUACUUUGCACAUGGACUUGAAGAUUUGCACAGAAAAAUUAAAUAAAAUAUUGUCUUGUCAUGCCUCUCAGGCUAUGAAUUGGAUGGGCAGUAUACCCAGAAAAGGAAGGAAAAGGAAGAAAGAGCAUUUGUUGAUAUGACUUAAAACUAUAAGAAAUAUACUAGUAAAACCCACUUUGUGUUUUUCUGGUCGUUGUAUGUUAAGUGUUGUAAUGUAAUUUACUCCCAAGCAGUCUUACCUGAAGGCUAUCAAAAGGCUCCUAGUCAGUGGUUUUGACAUUACAGUUUUAUUUUUUAUAUUCUUAUUAGCUACUAUGAGGGGUUUUGGAGUUAUAUUUGGCAAGGAUCUAAAACCUAAAAUAAACAUCUAUAUAUAUAAAAUGAUAAAGUUGUUUGCGCAGUGACUAUAACAACAAAACUAAACAUCCCAGAAAUACGAAAUUUGGCAACACAAUGCAAAAGGCUUGCCUCCAGGUUACAACAACACAACCACACCACAAAACCACACAAGACCCACAAAACUCACAACAACGCAUCAUGCGAUAACAACACAACUAAACGCCCCAGAAAUACAAAACUUGGCAACACAAUGCAAAAGCCUUCCCUCCAGGUUGUAACAACACAACCACACCACAAAACCACACAGGACCCACAAAACUCACAACAACGCAUCGUGGCUAUAACAACACAACUAAACACCCCAGAAAUAUAAAACUUGACAACACAAUGCAAAAGCCUUGCCUCCCGGUUGUAACAACACAACCACACCACAAAACCACAAUCCGGAC
ensembl:lncRNA